UAGGGAAUCUUCCACAAUGGACGCAAGUCUGAUGGAGCAACGCCGCGUGAGUGAAGAAGAUCUUCGGAUCGUAAAACUCUGUUGUCAGAGAAGAACACGAGUGAGAGUAACUGUUCAUUCGAUGACGGUAUCUAACCAGCAAGUCACGGCUAACUACGUGCCAG
rnacentral:rRNA from 1 species